UGCUGCAUUCCCCUAGCGCCGCGGGGCCUGCAGGUCUCUGUCGAGCCACGGACGCCGGUCUCUGUUCCGCAGGAUAGGGUUUGUUAAAGUUGUUAAGAAUAAGGCCUACUUUAAGAGAUACCAAGUGAAAUUUAGAAGACGACGAGAGGGUAAAACUGAUUACUAUGCUCGGAAACGCUUGGUGAUAUAGGAUAAAAAUAAAUACAACACACCCAAAUACAGGAUGACAGUUCGUGUAACAAACAGAGAUAUCGUUUGUCAGAUUGCUUAUGCCCGUAUAGAGGGGGAUAUGAUAGUCUGCGCAGCAUAUGCACACGAACUGCCAAAAUAUGGUGUGAAGGUUGGCCUGACAAAUGAUGCUGCAGCGUAUUGUCCUGGCCUGCUGCUGGCCCGCAGCCUUCUCAAUAGGUUUGGCAUGGCCAAGAUCUAUGAAGGCCAAGUGGAGGUGACUGGCGAUGAAUACAAGGUGGAAAGCAUUGAUGGUCAGCCAGGUGCCUUUACCUGCUAUUUGGAUGCAGGCCUUGCCAGAACUACCACUGACAAUAAAGUUUUUGGCACCCUGAAGGGAGCUGUGGAUGGAGGCUUGUCUAUCCCUCACAGUACCAAACGAUUCCCUGGUUAUGAUUCUGAAAGCAAGGAAUAUAAUGCAGAAGUACACCGGAAGCGCAUCAUGGGCCCGAAUGUUGCAGAUUACAUGCGCUACUUAAUGGAAGAAGAUGAAGAUGCUUACAAGAAACAGUUCUCUCAAUACAUAAAGAACAGCGUAACUCCAGACAUGAUGGAGAUGUAUAAGAAAGCUCAUGCUGCUAUACGAGAGAAUCCAGUCUAUGAAAAGAAGCCCAAGAAAGAAGUUAAAAAGAAGAGGUGGAACCGUCCCAAAAUGUCCCUUGCUCAGAAGAAGGAGCGGGUAGCUCAAAAGAAGCCAAGCUUCCUCAGAGCUCAGGAGCGGGGUGCUGAGAGCUAAACCAAACAAUUUUCUAUCAUGAUUUUUCAGAUAUAGGCAAUAAACUUACAGACAGAAAAAA